GAAGGAAUCUUCCGCAAUGGGCGCAAGCCUGACGGAGCAACGCCGCGUGGAGGACGACGGCCUUCGGGUUGUAAACUCCUUUUCCCAGGGACGAAACGGACGGUACCUGGGGAAUCAGCACCGGCUAACUCUGUGCCAGCAGCCGCGGUAAGACAGAGGGGGCAAGCGUUGUCCGGAUUUACUGGGCGUACAGCGCGCGCAGGCGGUCGUGUAGGUACCUGGUGACAGUCUCGGGCUCAACUCGAGGGGGUCUGGGUAGACCGCACGACUGGAGGCAGGGAGAGGGAUGUGGAAUACCCGGUGGAGCGGUGAAAUGCGUAGAGAUCGGGUGGAACACCAGUGGCGAAGGCGGCAUCCUGGCCCUGACCUGACGCUGAGGCGCGAGAGCGUGGGGAGCAAACGGGAUUAGAUACCCCGGUAGUCCACGCCGUAAACGAUGUGGAGCCGGUGUCGGUGCGUGAUUGCGCGCAGCGGUGCCCAAGCUUACGCGAUGACUCCACCGCCUGGGAACUACGGCCGCAAGGCUA
rnacentral:rRNA from 1 species